GAUUCUAAUAGUUUCACUUUAUCCACAGGAAACACUACUCUUGCUCACCUUUCACAUAAAGCACUGAAAAACAAACAAACAAAAAAACCCCCCAAAAGCAGCCGCUCUGAAUGUGACCAAUGUGUGACUCUGGGAGACAGGCCCCCGGCCGCCCCUCAAAGCACUGUGUCCUCAGGGCUCUGCACCGUCACUCUUAGCUUCUGUGGCUUUUAAGGGCUCAAGCAACAUUUCCAGGGAUUAGGGACCCAACUGUCCUCACACCCAAAGGGACACUGUGCCAAAGGUUUAAACACUCAGGAGACCCUCGGCCCCUCCUGGAGCCACAGCUGGUCCCCGGCCUCCAUGGAGAGUUGCACAGGCCAGAGUCAGUGAUCCCAGCUUCUGCGCGUGGAGAGAAAGGGCCCCCUCUGCCCAAGGGGGGUCAGGCGUCUGGGUGACCAUGAGCCGGGAUGUCCUGGCCAGACCCUCUGAGUCCUCAGGCUGCGAGGCCCUCUUCCCAAGAAAAGGAGGCCACAGGGCCAUCGUGAGAGUCAGGGUGCCCCGGCAUGGGGGUGGGGGGGCUCCUGAAGCCCCAGCCAGCCUCUUCCCAUCAGGCCUCUGUCCCUUCCUGCCCCAGUAAAUUUGGGGCUGCUCCAACACGCAGCAAUUUCGGAGGGGCCUCUAGCUACACUUUCUUCCUGGCCCUUCCAUCUGGGAAGUUCUGUCCUCGUGCAAAGCCCUUCACUCAGGCCCCUCAGUAGUUGAAAACAUCGGCCAAGAAAUCAGAAAUGAAGAUGCUCGGGGAAACCAAAGCCACCACACAGAGGACGCGUCCUGAAGGCGCUGUCUGCGCGGACGACGACACCGUGACCACAAAGCGGCACUGUGCGUGGCCCUUAGGACUCGCUACUCAGCGGCUGGGCUGUCUGUGUGUGUAAGCAAGAGCUUCCGCCUCAUUCUCAGACACGUUUACUAAUGAUCGUCAACAGGACACACCCAGCCACGCACACCGCGGCACGCACGAGACUCUCCAAGGACGCAUCGUCUGUGACAGCAACAGCAAGGCAGACGGUGUCACAGGGGGUGGCAGGAAGGAGCGCACACCCACACACCAGAAGACGGGGCAGCGGAACCCGGUUGUACGUGUUUCUGGAUGAGGACACAGGAAGCCUCACAAUGGCUGCCCCUGGAAAUGGGGUUGGGGAACCUGUCCGGGCUUUGGAGGCGGUGCCAGGGUAUACCCUUCUAUACGAUAGAAUUCUUUUUAUUACACGCCAGUUUAACUUUUAAAAUUUGAAAACAGGGGCACCUGUUGGCUCAGGUCAUGCUCCCAGGGUGCUGGGUUCGAGCCCCACAUGGGGCUCUCUGCUCAGCAGGGAGUCUACUUCUCCCUCUGCCUGCUGCUCCCCCUGCUUGUGCUCUCUCUCUUGCUCACUCUCCCUCUGACAAAUAAAUAAAAUCUUUAAAAUUUGAAAACA
rnacentral:lncRNA from 1 species